AUUUUCUCAAUUUCCAUCCAUAUUCGUCAUUUUGAGCCUUCCCACAGUAGCUACAUGUCAUUAAUGACUUGCCAAAACUCUCAGCUAGGUGGCCAUUCACAUUAUUCACCCGUUUGACCACCAAAAUGGCCUAGCAGCCCCGUCGGACCACCCAGGUACAUUCCACAGUCUGGUAAUGGGCCAUCGGUCAAUUUUUGCCAGUAUCCAACAUCGAUCGCACCCAAUCAACC
rnacentral:lncRNA from 1 species